ensembl:lncRNA
GAAGGGGAGGCGGUCAGCUCGGUCCCCGCCCGCCGUCCCGCAGGAAGUGCGCCCCCGGCCCUCUGCGGCGGUCGGGCGAGCGUCCAAGCUCGUCUCCCGGAGGCCGGCCCCUUGGGGUCUGCGCGCACACCCCGGAGCUAAUGUUUAACGGAAAUCAGAGGCUUUUGGCUGGGCUGGACUCUGACCUUCGUUAUCCGGAUGGAGAUAGUCAAGGCGUUACUUGGCUAUUUGAAGAUGGAAGUUCACCUUCUUUCUCCACUUUACCUGGCUUCACCGCUUCUGUGUUCAGGGCCAAUGUUCUUUGUGGUGGAAAACUGUCACUGAAAUAGAGCAAGUGUUCCGGACUAUAUGCCUGAGCUUCUACUAAAAGGUUUUCAAAGCAACGUGGUGGCAAGGAGGAAAUGUGAAGUGUCUGCAUCGGAGCAAAAGGUUGUACUGUUGACUGGAAUUUAUGGAGAGAAGCUUGGGUUUCUAGGGCUCAGCUCUGAGGAAAAUGCACUGGAUGUGUGUGCAUAGGGGAGGUACCACCAGGACCCAAGAACACAGCAUGGGGCCUUCCCCCACCUCCCAGUCCCCUCACCGCUGUCCAUAAGCUGGAACCUUUCAGAAGACAGGGCUUUGGGCCCCAGAAUUCGGCAUCCAGAGCAUCUGCCCAAAGUUCCAGAAAUUCAAGAUAUUUAAUGGACCCUCACCUUAAAGCAGCCUAUGACAGCCAUCCCUUCAAGAUAAAUACUCCCUUUCUCUGUCAGAGUAUGUGGCUCUGUACUUUGUACUCUUCCGUCACGGCUUUUGCCUUUAUAAGCCCCUGACACUUUCUCUUCCCCAGAACACUCUUCUGGUUUUACCCAAAUCUGUGUCCAGAAUUGCAAUUCUUAAACGCCUCAAUAAACUCUUAUUUGAAGC